rnacentral:tRNA from 1 species
GACUAUUUAGUUUAAUUUAAAACAAAUGUUUUGAAAACAUUAAAAAAGAGAGUUCUUAAUAGCCA